AUCGCUUCUUGGCCUUUUGGCUAAGAUCAAGUAUAGUUAGUGGUGAAAUACUUCCUAUUUAAAAAUGUUAUUUUUAACCCUUU
rnacentral:snRNA from 1 species